CGUUCAGCAAGAUCAGUAAUAGAUUAUCGUUAAACGUUUCGUUAUCUUAUCGUUUCACUUUUAUCUUUAGGUUUGCAAAGGGCACUAGAUGUUGACUUCUGACACAAUGGAUAGACACAUGAACACCGUUCAGCAAGAUGAGUAAAUUUAUAAAAACAGAGGUAUGUAUAGAUUAUCGUUAAAAUGCUAGCUAUGCUUUUUACUUCUAUCUUUAGGUGUGCAAAGGAUACCAGAUGUUAUCUUCUGACACAAUGGCUUCUGUCGCAAAGAAGAGGCACGAGAACAUCGUUCAGCAAGAUCAGCAUAUUUUCACAGAAUAGUGGUAUGUACAGAUUAUCGUUAAAAUGCUAGCUAUGCCUUUUACUUCUAUCUUUAGGUGUGCAAAGGAUAUCAGAUGUUGACUUCUGAAGAAGUGGAUAAGCACGAGAACAUCGUUCAGCAAGACCAGCAUAAAUGCACAAAAUAGAGGUAUGUACAGAUUAUCUCUAAAAUGCUAAAUUUGUUUUUUACUUCUAUCUUUAGGUGUGCAAAGGGCACCAAAUGUUGGCUUCUGACAGAGUCGAUAUACUAGUACAUGAGAACUUCGUUCAGGAAGAUUUUUUUCUGAUGAUUAGCUACAGAUUAUGGAAUUAAGGCUUGACUCCAUUAAAUGAAACACAGAAAGCAGGCGUCAUCGAGACUUAUUCUCCGUCGACAUCAUCCAGAACAGGGUACUUUCAAGAGACCUUAAUGACUUUUAAAUAAAAUUACAGAUUAUGGCAAUGAGGCUUGGUUUCACUGAAUGAAACAUAGAAAGCAGAUGUGUUCGACUUAGCAGACACAAAUUGGCGCCAUUUCCAGACACUUGGAACUCUUCUUAAUAAAGAAUGUUGAAGGAAGUACUUAGGUAACCCUCGACAAUAGAAGGAAGGAAAGAACAUGGCGGCGGCAGUCCAGAAACAAACAUGAUUGAACAGGUAAUACCUCACAUACAGUCAC